rnacentral:rRNA from 1 species
AUACGGAGGAUCCGAGCGUUAUCCGGAUUUAUUGGGUUUAAAGGGUGCGCAGGCGGCCAUUUAAGUCAGCGGUUAAAUCGUGGGGCUCAACCCCAUUCUGCCGUUGAUACUGGGUGGCUUGAUUGCGGUCGAGGUUGGCGGAAUUCGUUGUGUAGCGGUGAAAUGCAUAGAUAUGACGAAGAACACCGAUUGCGUAGGCAGCUGACCAGACCGCAAAUGACGCUCAUGCACGAAGGUGCGGGGAUCGAACAGGAUUAGAUACCCUGGUAGUCCGCACAGUAAACGAUGAAUACUUGUUUUCGGCGAUAUAAUGUCGGAGGCAAAGCGAAAGCGAUAAGUAUUCCACCUGGGGAGUACGCCGGCAACGGUGAAACUCAAAUGAAUUGACGGGG